UACGUAGGGUGCGAGCGUUGUCCGGAAUUAUUGGGCGUAAAGAGCUCGUAGGCGGUGUGUCGCGUCGGUCGUGAAAACUUUCAGCUUAACUGGGAGCUUGCGGUCGAUACGGGCAUCACUUGAGUUCGGCAGGGGAGACUGGAAUUCCUGGUGUAGCGGUGAAAUGCGCAGAUAUCAGGAGGAACACCGGUGGCGAAGGCGGGUCUCUGGGCCGAUACUGACGCUGAGGAGCGAAAGCGUGGGGAGCGAACAGG
rnacentral:ncRNA from 2 species